AUUGAACGCUGGCGGCAGGCCUAACACAUGCAAGUCGAGCGAGUGGCGGACGGGUGAGUGAUGUCUGGGCAACUCCCUGAUGGAGGGGGAUAACUACUGGCAACGGUAGCUAAUACCUCAUACCAUCAGAACUCACCUGAUGGGAUUAGCUAGUUGGUGGGGUAACGGCUCACCAGGGCGACGAUCCCUAGCUGAUCUGAGAGGAUGAGAAGCCACACGGGAACUGAGACACGGUCCAGACUCCUACGGGAGGCAGCAGUGGGGAAUAUUGUACAAUGGGCGCAAGCCUGAUGCAGCCAUGCCGCGUGUAUGAAGAAGGCCCUCGGGUUGUAAAGUACUUUCAGCGGGGAGGCGUUACCCGCAGAAGAAGCACCGGCUAACUCCGUGCCAGCAGCCGCGGUAAUUC
rnacentral:rRNA from 1 species